UGUCCUUUCUUUCAGUGUCCAAAGUCGAAGGUGAUUUCAUUUCUAGGGGCUUAAUUGAUGGAUUUGCAGUUACACUGAUGUAUAACUGUGUCCCCAGCUCUGGAGCCUUCCUUGAUUUUAAGGCCUGAUUCAAAGGUGAGGAGGUCCAAAAAAUGAUACAGCGAAACAGCAGUCCUCCAGGUAAGAGUGUGGACAGUACUUCGUCAAGCCAGUGCUAAAAGGAGUGAAACGUCCCGGAGUCAGCACAAGGUCUUCAGUGCAGAAUAGUACCAUUUUUCCCCUUUCGGCACAGAGGGAUCCCGACAGAAGAACAAGAAUAACAUCUCAGGGAUGGCGGGGUGGCCGGCUGCUCCCCAUGAGCAGCUCUCUAAGGAGGGACCAGUGACUCAUUGCGAAACACUGUUGACAUGCCGCGGUCAGCCUGCUGGAAAUGCCACGUUUUCCCAGCGACCGGGGCCACUGUACAGCUGUACUCUGUGUACCGA